rnacentral:misc_RNA from 1 species
GCAGCUCCUGUCUGGCUUGAAACUGGAGAAGCAGUGGCAAAUGUGUAUUCUGAAUUGCGGGAAGAAGCUCGUGAUCAUGCACGGUUACGGAAUGCCUACUUUGAACAGGCACGGCAAGCUUAUCUCAUCGGAAAUAAGGCUCUAGCCAAGGAAUUGAGUGCGAAGGGGCAGCUUCACAAUAUGCAUAUGAAAGAAGCUCAUGGCAAGGCACAGGAAUCUAUUUAUCGCCUGAGGAACCCAGUUG